rnacentral:rRNA from 1 species
GACGAACGCUGGCGGCGUGCCUAAUACAUGCAAGUCGAACGCUGAAGGAGGAGCUUGCUUCUCUGGAUGAGUUGCGAACGGGUGAGUAACGCGUAGGUAACCUGCCUGGUAGCGGGGGAUAACUAUUGGAAACGAUAGCUAAUACCGCAUAAUAGUAGAUGUUGCAUGACAUUUGCUUAAAAGGUGCAAUUGCAUCACUACCAGAUGGACCUGCGUUGUAUUAGCUAGUUGGUGGGGUAACGGCUCACCAAGGCGACGAUACAUAGCCGACCUGAGAGGGUGAUCGGCCACACUGGGACGGAGACACGGCCCAGACUCCUACGGGAGGCAGCAGUAGGGAAUCUUCGGCAAUGGACGGAAGUCUGACCGAGCAACGCCGCGUGAGUGAAGAAGGGUGUCGGAUCGUAAAGCUCUGUUGUAAGAGAAGAACGAGUGUGAGAGUGGAAAGUUCACACUGUGACGGUAUCUUACCAGAAAGGGACGGCUAACUACGUG